rnacentral:snRNA from 1 species
GUGCUCGUUUCGGCAGCACAUAAUACUAAAAUUGUGAACGAUACAGAGAAGACUAGCAUGGCCCUUGCACAAGGAUGACAAGUAAAUUUGGGAAGCGUUCCAUAUUUU